ensembl:lncRNA
AAAAAAAGACAGGGAUCUCCUAGAGAGAGUCCAAUGGAGGGCCAAAAAGGUGAUUAAGGGCUUGGAGCAUCUUCUGUAUGAGGAAAGACUGAGAGAGCUGGGGCUGUUCAGUCUGGAGAAAAGAAGGCUGAGAGGGGAUCUCAUCACUGUUUAUGAAUAUCUCAAGUGCAAGAGUCAAGUCAAUGUGGGCAGACUCUUUUCAAUGGCAAGCAACAAUAGAACAAGGGGCAGUGGCCAGAAACUGAAAUAUGGGAAGUUCCAUACUAAUGCAGAGAAGAACUUCUUUACUGUCAGAAUGACAGAGCACUGGCACAGGCUGCCUGGAGAGGUUGUGGAGUCUCCUUCUAUGAAGAUAUUCAAGACCCAUCUGGACACCGACUUGUGUUCCCAAUUGUAGGGAACUGCUUUAGCAGGGGGUUCAACCCAGUGAUAUCUUGAGGUUCCUUCCAACCCCUGCAAUUCUGUGAUUCUGAUUGUGUGGCUCUGUGAUUUAAGGCUGUGUAUUUUCCCUCUUCUUUUUUUACAGUUAUUUGAAAAUGUUUUUGUCCUGAAGCUACCCCUCUUUGACUCCCCUUAAAUGGAGUACCAAUCUGAAGUUGGACAUGCUUUAAUAGAGGCUGCUUCUUUCUUCUUCUUCUUCUUUUUUUUUUUUUUAAGAGGUGGAAAUCAUGGAAUAAUAGAAUGGCUUGGGUUGGAAGGGACCUUAAAGCCCAUGCAGUUCCAACCCCUGCCCUGGGCUGGCUGCCCCCCACGAGGUUAGGCUGCCCAGAGCCCCUCCAGGGAUGGGUACCCAUAGUUUCUCUGGGCAGCCUUGGCUUUCCUGCUCCCAUCCAUGCACAUCCAGACAGCAUCUCUCUAUUCUUUGCAGGCCACUCAAUCCUGCUUCCACUGCCUGCACAUUUUCUUUCCCUCACUCUGACCAGCAGGGACUUGCCCAGCCAUGCCAGUUUCCUGCCUCCUCUACUUGAUUUCUUAUCUUGGAGGUUGGAGAGCUCUUGUACUCUCAGAAAGGUGUCCUUAAAGAGCUGCCAUCUCUGCUCUGUUCCUUUGUCCCUAAGAACAACUUCCCAGGGGAUCUCACCCAACUACUCCCUAAGCAGCCUGAAGUUUGCUCUCUUGAAGUUCAGGGUCCUGACUGCUCUUUGCCAGGUGCAUAUUCCUUGAGAUCACAAAUGAGACCAGGGCAUGGUAGCUGCAGCCCAACCUGCCUCUAAUCUUAAUCUCUUUAUCUGUCUCCUCUGAAUUCAUGAGCUCCCUGGUCCAGUAACCCUUCUCCUCUGUCAGUUAGACUAAUACCUGGGCCAGGAAGUUACUGUCAGUGGGCUCUGGGAGUUUCCUGGGCUGCUUGCAGCUCACUGUGUUGCUUUCCCACAAGACGUCUGGAUGAUUGAAAUCCCCAUCAGGAUUCGAGUCUGUGACACUUCUUGCAGCUGCAGCAAGAAUGCCUCACCCACAGGCUUUCUUUGGUCAGACAGCCUGUAGUGGACCCCAACCACCAGAUGUCCUUUAUUGGUCCAGUCCCUAAUUUUGACCCACAGGCUCUCAGUCUGAUUGUGGGUGAUUCUCGGAGGCAGCUCUUCACAGUCUAUCUAUUUCUUAACAUAGAGGGCAACUCCAGCACAGGAACAGGUUGCCCAAGGAGGCUGUGGAUGCCCCAUCCCUGGAGGCAUUCAAGGCCAGGCUGGAUAUGGCUCUCGGCAGUCUAGUCUGGUGGUUGGUGACCCUGCACAUAGCAGGGGGUUGGAACUCGAUCAUUGUGGUCCUUUUCAACCCAGGCCAUCCUAUGAUCCUAUGAUUUCAUGAUUCUAAAAAUCCCUCAGCCCUCAAUCAUAGUGUUCCAGUUGUGUGACUUGUCCCACCGUGUUUCUAUGAUAGCAAUUAGGUCAUGGCUUUUUAAUAAUGACCUCAUAGGAAAAAAAUCACUCUCUUUGUCUUGAGCUGAAAAAUAUAGGCGUGUCCAUCUGUUAAGUAAGUUUUUGUGCUCAAAUGUAGAUACAGUUCUCUGAAAUGCCUUAACAACUAUUAUGAUAGUGAAAGCAUCUUGAAUGCAACUCGAGAGACCUGGAUUCUUUUCCUGAAAUAACCACUGAUUCUCAAGUCACUUAAUUUCCAUAUCUUGAAAACAGAGUAGUGUGUUUGCUGUCUUUCAUAAAGAGCAUUCAAAUCUACAUAUGCAAAGUGAUACAUAAACAUUUGUAAUAAUAUAGUGGGUGAUAUUCUCCAGGGAUAUAAAAAGGGGUGACCAGAAGAUGCUGGGAGAAUGAACUGACUUCUGCAGCUGUAGCUGAGCUCUUUGUCUUACUGGUGGUAAUUUGCAACUCAGAAUUUGGUGGUGGGGAGACAGAGUGCACAGUCAGAGUGCAGUCAAUUAGAGCAUGGUCAAUUAGAGCACGGUCUGAUUGACUGAACCUUAAGGAAACAUACUCUGUUUGUGUUUGCAUUAACUUAAAGGAUUCUCAAUCAUGAGGUAUGUGUAAACAUAGUGGGGGUUUCUAUUUUCAAACUCCAGUUUUUCCUUUUCUGUUGCCUUCCAACUGCUACCUGAAAGAAAUCCCCAGUGGCAUUGCUUCUAAAAGUCUAAGCAUAUCUACAGCAGAAGAAGAACAUUUUGUCUUUACAUACUCACGCUGCAGAAAGGAAACAUUAUGUGGCACCUCAGCAUCAGACAUUUGCUAAGACACGCAGUGGUGGCCCUGUUUAAUUCCUCCUAGUGGACAAACUGCUCCAGCAGUCACCAGUCUAUGAGCUGACUCCUGGCUCCCUGAGGCAGUUAGUGCAGCACUGAGAUGCUGCUUUUAUUUCUGAGCCGUUUGGUGAGUGCGUUUUAAUCAGAGAUGUGGAAGAAGUGUUGGGGAGGAGGUGCAGCCUUCUCCUUCUCAGGUAAUUAAUCAUCUGAUUUUUGGUGUCUCAGUAAUUACUGUUGGUAAAAAAAAAAAAAAAAAGUCAUUUGAAUGGUGGCAAUAUACUGCAAGCAAACAUAACUUGGAAUGACUUUGUUUCAGCCACUUGACUGUUCUUCGUGAGCAUUUUUACAGUCAGCUGAGGACUUGUAACCAAGCCUUUGGCCACAACUGUCAGCUCCAGAUUGCCUCUAGCAGGCAAGAGUGUGAUUGCAAGAUGCUACCAUUGCUUCUGGCCGCUGGCCUUAUUGUGCUGAGUAUGCAAGAAGGGACGUGCACAGCCCUGACUGCUGUUGGAUCUGAUUUCCACUGAAUUCUGCUGACCCUUAAACUGCUGCUGUGAUGGACUGAAGUAGCCCGAAGUGAACCUUUUCUCCCCAGCCAAAGCAAAAUGUUUAUCAGCAGCUCCUCUAAAGCCACUGCCGUUGCCCAAGUCUCUCCUCCUGCUGUUUGCUGCCUGCAGGAAGGCACGGGGAGCUGGCGAGCAGCCUGGGUGAACCUGCUCUGCUCCGACAGCCACUUUAGUUACCUGCCCCGAACCUCUGCUGCCAGCAGAGGCAGCUGUUGGUUCUGAGGCCAUCUGGAGGCACAAGGCAGGAUUUGAGGGAACUGCCUUUCUCUGGAGCCUCUUGUAGCACUCGUAGGCUUUGUUUAGUUAUUUAUCCAUCCUUCCAAUGUCCGUGCCAGUUUAGAACUUCCCAACGCUUUAACAACCAGAGUGUUCCUGAAUAGGUCAGAGUCAUUAUCCAUUCCUAUGGGGCAUACUGAACAGAAGAUUUGUUUUAAAAACAGAUGAAACAAUCAGCUUCUGAGCUAAUGCGGGGGUUUCUUGUUUACAUGGGCUUCAGCUCAGGCUGGACAAGGAGCUGGAAGAGUUUCUGCUGUGGGUACUCCUGUAUGUUCUUGCAGAGAUUCUUCGAACGCCGGUGGUUCUGUUAGCGUCCCUACGAGUGAAGCUGUGGUUGAGCAGAACCAAUUUAAAGUUGUUACGUUUGUCUGAGCUAAUCUUAUUUAUUUCAGGGCUUUUGCUCAGCUCUGCCCUUCUUGUUCCCGAGCACCUCUGCAUGAGUCGCCGUGGGCACAGCUGUGUGCUUGGGGACUCAGUUCUAUGGGAGCUCCCAGCUCAGGUUUGGGUACUGAGUGUUCCCCAGUCAGUAGGAGGAAAAAACUCAGAAAUCCUCAGAGUGACUGCUGCCAUUACUUUGCAGAGAGCCUGUGAGAGCUCAUUUAUAAGGUAUCUGACAGCAAUCAGCACCAGAUCGUUCAUAAUGUCUUUGGAGUGUUUGAGGCCAGAUAAAUCCGACUGUUUUUCUGCCUUUGUGAAUAGCUGUGAGCAUAAAUUAAUCUCUAAUUUGAGGGGAAUGCUGCGUGUUAGAUGGAAAUGCAGGACGGAGCUGGAGGGGGCAACCUGGGCCUUUUUAUUCUAUCUAGACAUUAAAAUGUUCCAUCUGUACUUCUACUGCGAUCUGCAGUGGAAGUCAAAGGAAGGAUUUUGUCUCUUUUCUUUUAUAUUUUGCAUUUCUCUCAACACUUCAGAAUGUUCUCUCUGUUUUUUUGGACAAGGGGUGCAUGUUUUUUCCCCACUUCUUAUUCAUUUAUGAAUUUAAAGGUCAAUGUUGGGAUUUUUCAUACUCAAAAGUGUAUUUUCUGUUUAUUAUACAUAUUUUAGGUGAGUGGUAUUUUAUUUACUUUAUUGUUUGUUGUAGAUGUUCAGCUAUAUCUGUGCUAAGAAAUAGGUCCAUUACUCGACGCAGGUGACUAGCUCUGGGUGCCCCCACCUGGUUGGAGCUGCCUAUUUCAUUGCAGUGUUGCUAAAUCCUUUCUGUAUGGUUUUCAUUCUGAAAAAGAUUAACCACAAAACAGCAAUGCAGGCAGUUCAGAUUCCUGCAGAGCACUGCUUAUGCAUUUGGUGUGUAUUUCAACUGGAGUAUGUCAGCAGCUGACAACAGGAAAGAAUCAUAGAAUGGCCUGGGUUGAAAAGGACCACAAUGACCGUCAGUUCCAACCCCCUGCUAUGUACAGGGUCGCCAACCAGCAGACCAGGCUGCCCAGAGCCACAUCCAGCCUGGCCUUGAAUGCCUCCAGGGAUGGGGCAUCCACAGCCUCCUUGGGCAACCUGUUCCAGUGCUUGGACUGAAGGUACCGAGCUCUUCAGAACUGACUGACCCUGGCAGUUCUGAUUUGAGGUGUAAGGCACAGAUCUGAGCCAUACGUGUUCUUUGCCACUAGGGUGGUGAUGCAGACAAGUUAAUGUUCGGAAGGCAUACAGCUAUGCUGGGCUAAUGUUUGAGCCUACAGUAAAGUGCCUACCACAAACCCAUCCUUCUUGAUAUAAAAAUGUCAAAUAUUCUUUUACUACUGUUAAAGGACAUAAAGGAAAAGUUGCAGAAAGAAAUUCCCUUCUGAGAUUUUCAGUUGUAAAAACUGUUGUUCUCAUACAAACUUCAAAGCAAAGCUAGAAGAACACAUGAAGAGGCUGUUAGUGCAGCUGUGGUUUCUAAAAUACGUGGCUCAUGCAAGUCCUGAAAGGUACAACUGCUCCUUUACCAGCAUGAAAGCUGGAGAGCAGCAGAGCCCCGACAAGUGCUGGAGGCUGUUUGGAUGUCACACAGUUCAGUGGUCUCACAGUCCCAAUGUCAGACACACAGAGCCAGGCCCAGGCUGAGGUUGUCCCAGAAGAUCAUUGCUGUAGAUUACUGAAGUACAAAGGCUUGUAAACAACUACAGUGUCCACACGUGGGGCUGAAAAUGAGCUGUUAAGAGCUGAAAAUAUCAAUGUCUGAAAUUGGAAUUACUGACUCCUACUGGUUAGAGUUCCACCUCUCCCACUUAGAGAAUUGUUGGAUGCUCGUAAUGUAGCUUUUCACACUUUUUACUCUGUCCCUUAAAUUAUGUCUGUUUGAAUGUGAUUUCUUGAAGCCUUCAUUAUUUGUAAGUGAUUAUGUUAGGCUUUGAUAUAUUUUAGGUAUGAGAGUGUUUGAAUUAUCUGCUUUUCUCCUUUUAGCUGUCAUUUCAGGUAAAUAACAAUUCUGCAAGUUUGUGGUUUUGACUUCUCACCUCAGCGGUUUGGAUCAGUGAUUGAGGACGUGGACCCAGGAAUUUGAAGAUGAGCUUCACUUUUAAUGUCUUCAUUUGGACACCAAGCAAAUCCCUAACUAAUUGAGGCUGAAAUGCCUUAGGAUGAUAUUUGCUGUUCUUUAUUUAAAUUCAGAGGGUUUAUCACCACACAGACAUUUCAGUUGCUUAUUCUAGGAAACUCAUGGAAACGUGCUUUGUUAAAUAAUGUAUUUUCUAUUUUUUUUUCCCUUCCUUGUGUUACAAAAUGAAUGUAAAAGCUUUAAAACCCAGCAUUCACCACUCUGCAGUAGAUCUAAUAGAGUGGCAUUAUAUGAAGAGAUGCCAUGGUAACUGAAGUUGCCAAGACAGUCAGUGUCAAGCUUUUUAAUGGUGACUGCUAUACUAUAUUUGGCUUUGAUUACCACAAUCUGAAUAGCAAAUGGAAAGUGUUCACCGGUCUCAUUUGCUACCACCUACAGUCCAGAAGUAACGAGAUGACAGAAUUCAGUGUUGCACUGACUGCCAACCACUGGCCAUCAGGAUUGUUCUUUGCAGCACUCCCCUCUCCCACUGGAUCUCAUGGCAUCCUUAUCACAGCCUUACCAUUUGUGCUAUCCAGUUGGUGAUAUGCCACUUGUCUUAAUGAAAUUUGGCACCUGAAGCCAGUAGAGGAGUCUGCACUUUGUGAGCUGGCAAAAAAUCAGCAAAGUCAUUUCCACAGGAAACUGUUCUUUAAAUCUGUAAGUGGUGCGAAAGCAGAAUAAAGCAGAAACAUACACUGUUUUUUUCUCAUAAAUGGGUUAGGUGUACCUUACCUCCCUUGCUGUAAAGCUUUGUAGAUCCUGUUAUCAUCAGUUUUCACAAAAAUGAUGCUUUCUUCUGUCUCCAUAAUUUUGGUUUAUUUUUUAAAUGCCAGAAUAGAAAGCGAGGUCCCAUCGCCAAGGUGCCAUUUUAUCAUUUUGCUCACUCUAAUACAAAUGAUUUACCUAUACACUGAAGUAUUACCGUAAGUUAUAAUGAAGCUCCUUGCUAAAACGUGCAGCAGCAGUUCCAAAACGUUACUCAUUACCUUUAAAUCCAGAACUAAACUUUCUGCCAGUAGUAAUAGCCUCAUGCUGUUAAAAAGGACUGUUUUUAACAUGCUGUUAAAGGACUGCUUUACUUAAAAGGAAGCAGUCACAGAGCAGACUAUGAAAUGCUUCUUGAAUGAGAUGAACAGUCCUGGCCAUAACAGUUGUAGACUAUUGGGAAACUCAAUAGGCAGCUAACAGGAACAACUUGGGUAGGAAGAGCUUGAGGGUGAGUGCAGCUCAGCUCAGAACAGCCUUCUGUCAUUCUCUCUUGCAGUUAGGCAGACAUAAACAAAGAAGCAUGAUGGGAAGAAACUGAUAUCUUGGAGGGAAGGGAAAGACUAAAUAAAGAGUAGGGAAAAAGCUUUAACAAUGUGAUUCUUUAGAUAGAAAGCUAGUCUCAAAAGACCUAUCCCUUGACACAUGAAAAAUUGAUUGGAGAAAGCAGUAGCAAAUAGUUUUCCAGGAAGAAUGUUGUAUUGGCAGGAGGAUGGAUAAGAUGAUCACAGUUCAUUUACUUAAGUUAUAUCCAACAGCAUUAUGAAGUAGGAGAAUAUAUGGGUGAUUUCAUGUGGUUUUGGAUCGUGUGGAUUUUGAACAAACCAGUCAGGAGGUAGCAGCAUUGCUUUGGAGAUCAGCAAAUGAAGAAAAACAGCUUCAGUUGAAAGGGAACAGAUUUGACAGGAAAAAUUCAUAUUUGUUAAAGAUUGGUUUAGAAUACUGACAUCAAAUCUCACUGUCAGUGGAUAUUUUCUUCAACGGCUGUAUCUCUACUGCUAAAAUGCAACACAACAAAUUCAGAUUCAUUCCUAAGAUCAAUUUGUUCAAGUCAACAAAAUUUUUGUCACACCACUGUUAAACCUGAGAUGCCUCAAAUAAAGAGUAUAACUUGGCUUGAAAACAGCACGAAGGAUGAAUGUAAUCCAUGCCAUCGAGAAAAUAGCCAAUGUUAAACUAGAUGAGUUUGACACCAAUUCAAAAGGCAUCUUCUUGUGUCCUACAUUCUAGUAAUUUUGUUGACUAAAUUAUGUGUUUAAAUUUAUACGGCAAACUCAGGCCAGCAUUUGGGUUCCUGUGAUUAUUCAUUUGUAAGGCUGUGAAUGCUUAUUAAUGGCUCCUGGCUUUAGAAUGAGCGUUUAUGCUUCCAAAGCACUGCACAUGACUAAUUUGUUCUUCUGCUUAUUCGAAAGCAGCAGGGGUUGUCAAGAAGCCAAAUCUACACUGAAUUAAAACCACGUUGCUUUGCUUCCAUAGAAGAGGUAAUACUUGGCUGUUGUAAAAAAGUCACACUUCAAUUGAGCAUCAGUUCAUCACUGAAACUACAAAGUGGAGCAGUCGCAGAGCAGUCCCUGUGCAGACUUGUUGCUGGCUCACGCCUGCCAGUACUUCACAGAGAUGCAGAUGCCAUUGGUGGACUUUUCACUGCUGGACAGAAGGCAUUUGAGUGAUUACUUGUUGUGAAGUACCUUCUGCAGAGACUGCCUGCAGUUUUGGAAGGCAGCUGGAUAGCAUCAUGCAUUAGUAAUCUAAUGACCUUUACCCCUCGGCACCAUUUCCUCACAUCUUGAACAGCUUGGCAAUACUAGGAAAGCAUCCCAUGGUUCAGUACAGUUGUGUAAUAGAAGUUCUUCUCAUUACAUUUCACUCAUUGACUGAUUUUAUCUCAAGAGUAAGCACAGCAGCUAGAAAUCACAGGAAGCCUCGGAAGAGAGUUGGAUUAAUACCUGAAGGCAGUUUCCUCUGGAAGUGAGCUUUCCUUCGAGGCAUGGAGCAGCACUGCUGCUGUGGCUGCUGCACUGGGGCUGCAGGAAGUACCUCUGUGCAGACAAAACUCAUUCUGGGAACAUGCAAAGAACACAGAGUUUGGACCCAAUUACUCACUCUGCCAUCUUUUUUUAUCCUCAAGGAUGGGGGGGAAUCCUUUAUCAGUGCAUAGUAAUCGUCUUGAUGUCCAAUGAAAAGAGCAAUGACAAACAUUUCCUUGCCAGACAAUGAGUAUUGCAGGCAGACAGCUGGGUUACUUUCCACCUUUGCACGAGCACAUCUGCUCAACGAGCACGGCAUACAUUCAGAGAUACCCGAGCACGCAGGGCUGACAUUUGCUUUUCAGAAGCGCCCCCCUGACAGGCACUUGAAUGCUCAGACACCCGUGUGAAAGGUACACAGGACAUCAGUGGGACGAGCUGCGUAACUCACACCACUGACACGUCUCUUUUCACUUGCAGUAUUUAUAGCUGGCAGUGAUUUCCCAUUGCGCACUUUUGCUUUAGGAAGGACUUCUAAAAUAUCAAGAGUUUGUUCCAUACAGACCUUUUCCUUUGGGUACAUGAAGGAGGCUGAUGUCAACGGCAGCUCUCGGACGUGGCCCUGAAUGCACAGCAGUACGAGCCAUUCUGCUUGUGCAUGUGGUCAGCUUUUGCUUCAGUCUUCUUGUGCUUCUGCUUGUGCUUCAGUCAGCAUGACUUUCAGAGCUCUUCAUUUUAUUUUAUGGCUAAUUUCACGAAUUCAUUAGGGGCAUUGUAGUGGCAGUGCUCAAUCACAGCCUGAAACAGUGAUGGAGCACCUGGUGGGAAGGCAGGGCCAACCCAGGGGAGUUCAGGUGCACGUAGUGCUGCUGAGUGACUAGAAGGGAUGGAGUCAGGAUCCACCCCUUCCCAGCCCUCAUUUAAGGGUUGGCAGUGGAGCUGAGGGUAUCUUUUGCUGGAGAUUCCUGCUUACCUGCGGCCUUCUAAGAGUAAGCAGUUCUUUUCCUUAAUUUUUGCAUCUGUGGCUGUUGCAUUUGGGCUCAUUCUCAUUUGGAGUAGCUAAAGACUUUGACGCCCUGCUAUUAUCCUAUUAUAGCGUUGCAGGCAUUAAUAAUAGUUAAGGAGAUUUAAAUCCAUUAUGACUGUAACACUGGGCAGGCUGCAGGGGUGUGCAGAUGUCAUCUCCAUGUUCUUCUGGAGGAAUUUUGGAUGCUCAGUAGCAGUGAUGCCAGUGUUGGGGCAUGCACCCAGAGCACCCCUGUCUGGAGGAAAUGUAGUUCCCCACAUCUUGCAACGCACAGAGCUGUGAGAACACCAGAAUGCCUGAGCACUCAUCUGCUGCCCAGCUCUUGGCUGCUGCUAGAUGCAGCUCGUGACUUUGAAACCAGUUGUUUGCAAAAGAGCUCUGUGCCAUGCCCUGCAGGGCGAGCAGGGCCUCGUGCUGCAGCUGCUGACUAAUGCAUGACACCUCUGCUGUGAGGCAGUUGUGUUCACUCACCGAGGUCAGGGUGACUCAAAGCAGCACAUGUUCCAUGUCGAUGCCCAGAGGCAGCUGCUGUUUUACAUCAUGACAAUGUCAAUUAUCACCUACAACACUCCUGUAAGGAGUAAAAUGGCAUUGACAAAAGAUGCAAUUAUUUGGCUGUUUGCUUUCUCAGUCCUCUGCUAAUGUCAGUGUCUGGUUGUCUCUCUGAUGAUGCCUUUAAACCACAUGUGUGACAGCUACACUGCGUUGAAAAACACAGCUUUCCCCACCUGUGUGUGCAUGAGGAGAUGUGCUGUUGCAGAGAUGCCCUGAUCUUUCUGAGCACCACUGUAACGCUGCUGGAGAAGCUCAAGGGGGGAUUGUGUCCUUUCCAGUGGAGGCUGGAGGUGCAAUAUUGAUCUCAGCCCCCAUCUCUUGGAUAGCUGGAGUGUCAAGCACUGGGUAGAAUUGCUGUAAGUGCGCUGGCUCUUGCUGUGCUCCUGGCCGUUCCUCUGCUUCAUGUCUAUGUGCUUGGGCCUUUGGAGCUGGCUGCUGCACCAGCCCAGCUCUCGGAGGUGUCCCCCAGCAGCUGCUGCCUGGGGUUGCUUGGGCUGCUCGCAGGAGCUGAGGGCACAGCCCAGCCCGCUGUGCUGGCAGAGGCUGAUAGCCUGCCCAGAGCAAGUUUUUCUCCUCCACCACAGUCAUCUGACCUGUCCUUAGAACGGCAUCUGCUUUUGGGGGGCAAGACCAACAAAAAACAACAGCAACAAAAAGCUUUUGUGAUUCAUCUCUUAUUUAGAGCAUGUGCUAAUGAUGAAUUUGGGUGCAUCCCAUCUUGUCUCUAGGAACAGCUGGAAUAACUUCUGUGUUUUUGCAUUGGAAACAACAAUGUUGCCGAAUCAUAGCUGUUCUUUGUGAAUCUCUCCAUUUCUUUAAGUUGUCAAUUUAUGGAAAAGUGGAAGAAUCUGGUAGUGAAACUGAAACUUCUUGUUUGAUCAUUUUGGUACCAGCAGAUGUGGGGAAUUCAUUCCAGGACAAGUUUAUUGCCUACGUUCACGUUCUGACAUUGCCAAAAUGAGCAGAAAUAAAAGCCUUCCCCACCCCCCUCAAGUUUUUAAAUAUAAUGGGAAAUGUUUUUAUUCUUUGGAGUUGUGGCAGAGUCUGCACAAUUUAACCUUGCAGACUUAUCCUGUUCAACCACAGGUCGUGUGCUGCUGUCCCAGCAGCUGGGGCUGGAUCCAUGCAGUCAGUCUGCACACGACGUGGAGGUUUGCUGAUGCUGCACAGUUGGGUGCAGGCAGUCAUCUGCAGAGCCCUCACGCCUUUGUAUCAUCCAGCCUGAUACUCAUAGCGCUGUUUUACUAAGCCCAAAGCCUUUACUGGUUACACAUGCUCUGCGUCAUUCCUUCCAUUGGCACGUGCUCCGUUCGGCAUUCUCUCAUUCACGUACGACACAGGGAAGGGAUUGUAUACUCCACUGUGAUACCACUUACAUCUCCUCCUUUGUUUCUAGGCAUGUAAUUACAUAUGGAUUUGGACCUUAACAAACCAUGGGUUGCUUUAGGUUACACUUGCUCCUGCCUCAGCCUAACUACGUGUUUUCAUUUAGAUUUUGGCAAGACCUUUGUCUGGCCAGCUGGCUUUUGUGCUCGAGACCAUCCUGUCUUUUGUCUUGAGUUACCCUUCCUUCUUCCCAACUGCAGCCCUGACUGCACUUGCAGUAACAGGGAUGAAUUUAUCAAAUGUUUGUGUAUUCACACAAUUAAAACGCAGAUAUUGAUUUGUUACUUUGAUCUCUUGGCUUCCCUUACCAGAAUGUAGGCAUGUAGACACAAAUACAGGGUGUGGAGGAUCUGUUGCAAAGGGCAAUUUUGAUCUGGCCGUAGCAGCGUGAGCCAUCUGUUGAUUGGCCUUUGUCAGCCAAAUUGUGCUACUAGUUGGCAUAGUGAAUAUGUAUGCAGCACUCUGCAGGACAAAACUCAUAAAUUCAGAUUGCCUUGCAUGAACUUAUAUAUGCAGUUCAGCUCCACAAAGAGAAAGAAAAAGAAAAAAACUGCAUACAUUGCUUAUGCAACAAAAUGUUGCUUAUUUAUAGUGGCAUUUACAAGGUGCAGGGAAAGCUGAUAUCCUCCUCAAUGAUGAGGGCUGAAAACCUCAUUAAAAUGUGUUAUAACAUCAAGUGAUGCAUUUCUGCCCCUACUGCUCCAUUUUAACACAGG